AGUGAACGCUGGCGGUAGGCCUAACACAUGCAAGUCGAACGGCAGCACAGUAAGAGCUUGCUCUUACGGGUGGCGAGUGGCGGACGGGUGAGGAAUACAUCGGAAUCUACUUUUUCGUGGGGGAUAACGUAGGGAAACUUACGCUCAUACCGCAUACGACCUACGGGUGAAAGCAGGGGAUCUUCGGACCUUUCGCGAUUGAAUGAGCCGAUGUCGGAUUAGCUAGUUGGCGGGGUAAAGGCCCACCCAGGCGCCGAUCCGUAGCUGGUCUGAGAGGAUGAUCAGCCACACUGGAACUGAGACACGGUCCAGACUCCUACGGGAGGCAGCAGUGGGGAAUAUUGGACAAUGGGCGCAAGCCUGAUCCAGCCAUACCGCGUGGGUGAAGAAGGCCUUCGGGUUGUAAAGCCCUUUUGUUGGGAAAGAAAAGCAGCAGGUUAAUACCCCGCUGUUCUGACGGUACCCAAAGAAUAAGCACCGGCUAACUUCGUG
rnacentral:rRNA from 1 species